UCGAAACACCCCCUCCCCCUCCUUGUCCCCUCGAAACACCCCCUCCCCCUCCUUGUCCCCUCGAAACACCCCUUCCCAGUAUCCCUCUGGCCCAGUCGAGUACAACUUCCAGUGGGAUGUGAAUGAUCCAAGAAGCGGCAAUUUUUAUGGCCAUCGGGAAGAAAGACAAGAUGUGGACACACGUGGGAGAUACUACGUGCAGUUACCUAACGGUCGGCUCAUGGUAGUAGACUACUACGUCGACAGAACCGGCUACCAUCCCACCAUUACAUACGAAGACCAGGGACUUGCUCCGUCAAAUCCUUCCCAAAAUCUCGAAGAAAGCCAGGACUAUGCGCAGACGGAGCAAAGAUCAAAUCAAGACCUCCCACAGACCGGUCCCAGUCCUGAGCAAAGCCCUCAACUGAGACCUAGACCUAACCGGGGCUACACACCGUUCGGAAGUCGAAGUAAAAGUCUCCAGCAGACUCUUCCCGGUAUCUCUCAGGAGCUCACCCUUCCUGUACAAUAAUGGGUAUACUAGGGAUUACCUAUCACUGUACCUGCAUCAUCUGUCAUUUCCAAUGUAAAUACCUUAAGGAGUAAAUGAUUACAAAUAUA